UGGGGAAUAUUGGACAAUGGGCGGCAAGCCUGAUCCAGCCAUGCCGCGUGAGUGAUGAAGGCCCUAGGGUUGUAAAGCUCUUUCGCACGCGACGAUAAUGACGGUAGCGUGAGAAGAAGCCCCGGCUAACUUCGUGCCAGCAGCCGCGGUAAUACGAAGGGGGCUAGCGUUGCUCGGAAUCACUGGGCGUAAAGGGCGCGUAGGCGGCCGUUCAAGUCGGGGGUGAAGGCCUGUGGCUCAACCACAGAAUUGCCUUCGAUACUGGACGGCUCGAGACCGGAAGAGGUCAGUGGAACUGCGAGUGUAGAGGUGAAAUUCGUAGAUAUUCGCAAGAACACCAGUGGCGAAGGCGGCUGACUGGUCCGGUUCUGACGCUGAGGCGCGAAAGCGUGGGGAGCAAACAGGAUUAGAUACCCUGGUAGUCCACGCCGUAAACGAUGGAUGCUAGCCGUUGGCGCGCUUGCGCGUCAGUGGCG
rnacentral:rRNA from 1 species